CCGGGGCGCUCCUGGGGCCGGGGAGGUCCCCCCAAAAUGGGGGCCGCCUGCGGGGUCCCGGCCUCCCUUGACACCUCGCUCGAGGCCCCGCGAGGUGUGGGGUGGCCGCGGCCGGUCCUUGAGGAGCUCCGGGGGGGAGCGAAGGCAGCACCCACCUCGCUGCCACCCCGGUGGGCACGGAGAGGACCGGGAGAAGCCGGCGACCCCGCUGGGCCCCCCCGUGCUGCAGGGAGCCAGCACCUCCCAUCCUCAUCCUACAGGAAUAAACCACCCGGGUGCAGCCCUCGGUGCCUCCAUCACCCCCAAAAUCCUGCUGGGCACCGGGCUGCUCGCUUAUCGCAGGCCUGAUGGUCCUCAAUAUGCUUUUUUUUUUAUUUUUUUUCCUUUUUUUUCCCCUUCUUCCUGCUGCUUUGCAGCGCGCUGAGCCGGCGUUCCCCUGCAGCAGCUCAGCCGCGGUGGAAUCGGAGGCUGCCUGGUGUGACCCAAAAUGGAGAGAGCUCCCGCAGCUCGCCCGGGGAUGGGGAUGGAUUCGCGGCGGUUCUGUACCUUGGCCCGUGCUGCCGCUGCUGCCACAAAGCCUGGAGUAAAAUAGAUUUAUUUCAGGCGUGCAGGCAGCCUCGGGAAGCCGCUGUGCGCUCACCCAGGAGCCGGGCUUUGCUCCUCUAGCCGGAGCUGCCGGGCGUGCACCGAAGUGCCAUGACAAAGCAAAUUAUCACGUGUGAAGGAGGGCUGGGUGGCAGAGGGGCUUUUUCUUCCUCCUCGUGGUGAAAACCUCUCCCGGGAGGAGCCGGGAGGCAUCUCUCCAAGGCAAGGCCUCCGCGAAAAGGGGAUGCGAAGAGGGGCUGCGGAACUUCUUGGGGAGGUCCCCACCGAGGGGCUGCGAGGGGCACGGUGCUGGCAGCCCCCUGCCGUGAUAACAGGCGGUGUCAGGAGCCUUAUCUCGUCUUAUCUCGCCUUGCUGCAGCCCCCGGAGCUGCUGCAGGUGGGGAAGCAGAAGCAGGCGCUGGGUUCCCGUUGGUGUGAGAUGCCUGCGCCCCGUGCAGGCUCGCGGACCCCUUGUCACUGCCUUUUGUCACCACCGUGGGGCACGGGGGGAUGUGAUGGGUGGCUUGGCCUCUGGUGCUGCAGGAAUUGUGCUGGCGCUUCAAAGGGGCAAAAACACGGCUGUGAAAGGUUUUGAGAUAUAUCCCGGAGGAGUGUCUGAAGCCCUUAAGGUCAGUCCCAAACCGAGCAGGGUGUCCGGGGAGGUUUCACGCUGCUGGAAGCUGCUGCCCUGGCUCAGCGGGGGUCUGGUGCUGGCUGUCCCUUUGCAGCCACUCGUCCCUUCCCCCUGAGACAUCAGUGAUGCUGUCCAUGGCCCGAUGCUGCUGGGCCAAGGCAGCGGGCACCCCGGGGAGCUCAGCCCGGCACCUCGGGCCAGGACAGAAGCAAGGAGGUGCUCUGCAGGAGCAGCCGGGGGUGGCGGUGGGGUCUGCGAGCUCCCAGGAGCUGUGCGGAGCAACGAAGGACGGGGUUCGUGGGGAGCUUCUUGACCCGUUUUGUUCCAAGGAGUUGGAGCUGGGGCCAGCGAAUUCCCAUCCUGGAGCUACCAGGAGCCACCAGGAGCCCGCUGCCUCCUCCUGCUGCCCGCCCGCACGGGGAGGACGCGUGGAAGGGCCGGAGGGUUACGGAGCCACACGCGCGCGGUUCCAGGAGCUGGGGAGCUCAGGGAAACACCAGGGGCAUUGAUGGGCCAACGAGCUCAGUGCUGGCUGAUCGCUUGGCUGGAACAAUUAACAGCUAAACGCCACGGAAUAAAUGGCCGUCGGGCUCCUUCCUUUGCAAGACGA